CAAAAACAACCUAACCCUUGCCGAGGUUAACGCGCUCUACAGAGCCCUGGCGGGAGAAUCCAUAUCCCAGUUUAGGCAUUACCACAUUCGACAAAGAAGUUUGGUAGAUGUUUGCCCACAGUUAGAUGAUGGGACCACAUGCCUAGCAUGUCCAAAGGCGGAUAUGAUAGUGACAUUGGAUGCCAACUUUGGCCUCAGGGACAAGUGUGGUUGAGCCAUUUCAUGGAACCCGCAUGUUUGUUGAUGAAAAGGACGUAGAGGAAUACCUUCUUUCAAAUCUUGACAGCUCAAAGCCUAACGAGGACUGCAGUAACUUCAAGGCUGGCAUCGUCUGAGGUCCCAACAACAAGCAAAGAAACUUGAUGUUACAGGAGUGUUUGGAGCGUCAUGAAAUGCCG
ensembl:lncRNA